GAAUCAACGCUGGCGGCGUGCUUAACACAUGCAAGUCGAACGCGGUUACUGCCUCUCCGCAAGGAGAGAUGGUGACUGAGUGGCGAACGGGUGAGUAACACGUGGGUGAUCUACCUCUGAGUGGAGGAUAACGUUCCGAAAGGAACGCUAAUACCGCAUGACGUUUCUGGGUUUGAAGACCUGGAAACCAAAGCUGGGGCCCUUAGGGCAACUUAAGGCCUGGCGCUUGGAGAGGAACCCGCGCCUGAUUAGCUAGUUGGUGAGGUUACGGCUCACCAAGGCGACGAUCAGUAGCGGCCUGAGAGGGCGGACGGCCACACUGGGGACUGAGACACGGCCCAGACUCCUACGGGAGGCAGCAGUGGGAAUUGUUCGCAAUGGGCGCAAGCCUGACGACGCAACGCCGCGUGGAGG
rnacentral:rRNA from 1 species